rnacentral:rRNA from 1 species
UGCAAGUCGAGCGGAAACGACUUAACUGAACCUUCGGGGAACGUUAAGGGCGUCGAGCGGCGGACGGGUGAGUAAUGCCUGGGAAAUUGCCCUGAUGUGGGGGAUAACCAUUGGAAACGAUGGCUAAUACCGCAUAAUAGCUUCGGCUCAAAGAGGGGGACCUUCGGGCCUCUCGCGUCAGGAUAUGCCCAGGUGGGAUUAGCUAGUUGGUGAGGUAAGGGCUCACCAAGGCGACGAUCCCUAGCUGGUCUGAGAGGAUGAUCAGCCACACUGGAACUGAGACACGGUCCAGACUCCUACGGGAGGCAGCAGUGGGGAAUAUUGCACAAUGGGCGCAAGCCUGAUGCAGCCAUGCCGCGUGUAUGGAGAAGGCCUUCGGGUUGUAAAGUACUUUCAGCAGUGAGGAAGGUAGUGUAGUUAAUAGCUGCAUUAUUUGACGUUAGCUGCAGAAGAAGCACCGGCUAACUCCGUGCCAGCAGCCGCGGUAAUACGGAGGGUGCGAGCGUUAAUCGGAAUUACUGGGCGUAAAGCGCAUGCAGGUGGUUCGUUAAGUCAGAUGUGAAAGCCCGGGGCUCAACCUCGGAAUUGCAUUUGAAACUGGCGGACUAGAGUACUGUAGAGGGGGGUAGAAUUUCAGGUGUAGCGGUGAAAUGCGUAGAGA